CAAAAGGCCCUUUUAAGGGCCACCAACUUCUCUCUAGAGCAGAGAAU
rfam:Oryzias latipes DNA, chromosome1, strain: Hd-rR.